GACGAACGCUGGCGGCGUGCUUAACACAUGCAAGUCGAACGGAAAGGCCCUGCUUUUGUGGGGUGCUCGAGUGGCGAACGGGUGGGUAACACGUGAGUAACCUGCCCUUGACUUUGGGAUAACUUCAGGAAACUGGGGCUAAUACCGGAUAGGAGCUCCUGCUGCAUGGUGGGGGUUGGAAAGUUUCGGCGGUUGGGGAUGGACUCGCGGCUUAUCAGCUUGUUGGUGGGGUAGUGGCUUACCAAGGCUUUGACGGGUAGCCGGCCUGAGAGGGUGACCGGCCACAUUGGGACUGAGAUACGGCCCAGACUCCUACGGGAGGCAGCAGUGGGGAAUAUUGCACAAUGGGCGGAAGCCUGAUGCAGCAACGCCGCGUGCGGGAUGACGGCCUUCGGGUUGUAAACCGCUUCCGCCUGUGACGAAGCGUGAGUGACGGUAAUGGGUAAAGAAGCACCGGCUAACUACGUG
rnacentral:rRNA from 1 species